UCCUGGCUCAGAUUGAACGCUGGCGGCAUGCCUUACACAUGCAAGUCGAACGGCAGCACGGGAGCUUGCUCCUGGUGGCGAGUGGCGAACGGGUGAGUAAUACAUCGGAACGUACCCUGAAGUGGGGGAUAGCGUAGCGAAAGUUACGCUAAUACCGCAUAUUCUGUGAGCAGGAAAGAGGGGGAUCGCAAGACCUCUUGCUUUAGGAGCGGCCGAUGUCGGAUUAGCUAGUUGGUGAGGUAAAGGCUCACCAAGGCGACGAUCCGUAGCGGGUCUGAGAGGAUGAUCCGCCACACUGGGACUGAGACACGGCCCAGACUCCUACGGGAGGCAGCAGUGGGGAAUUUUGGACAAUGGGCGCAAGCCUGAUCCAGCCAUGCCGCGUGAGUGAAGAAGGCCUUCGGGUUGUAAAGCUCUUUCGGUGGGGAAGAAAUUGCACAGGAUAAUACCUUGUGUAGAUGACGGUACCCGCAUAAGAAGCACCGGCUAACUACGUG
rnacentral:rRNA from 1 species